rnacentral:rRNA from 1 species
ACUCCUACGGGAGGCAGCAGUAGGGAAUCUUCCACAAUGGGCGCAAGCCUGAUGGAGCAACACCGCGUGAGUGAAGAAGGGUUUCGGCUCGUAAAGCUCUGUUGUUAAAGAAGAACACGUAUGAGAGUAACUGUUCAUACGUUGACGGUAUUUAACCAGAAAGUCACGGCUAACUACGUGCCAGCAGCCGUGGUAAUACGUAGGUGGCAAGCGUUAUCCGGAUUUAUUGGGGCGUAAAGAGAGUGCAGGCGGUUUUCUAAGUCUGAUGUGAAAGCCUUCGGCUUAACCGGAGAAGUGCAUCGGAAACUGGAUAACUUGAGUGCAGAAGAGGGUAGUGGAACUCCAUGUGUAGCGGUGGAAUGCGUAGAUAUAUGGAAGAACACCAGUGGCGAAGGCGGCUACCUGGUCUGCAACUGACGCUGAGACUCGAAAGCAUGGGUAGCGAACAGGAUUAGAUACCCUGGUAGGAUAGCG